GGUCAAGUGAAGAAGUGCAUACGGUGGAUGCCUUGGCAGUCAGAGGCGAUGAAAGACGUGGUAGCCUGCGAUAAGCUUUGGGGAGUCGGCAAACAGACUGUGAUCCAGAGAUCUCUGAAUGGGGGAACCCAGCCAGCAUAAGCUGGUUAUCUUGUACUGAAUACAUAGGUGCAAGAGGCGAACCAGGGGAACUGAAACAUCUAAGUACCCUGAGGAAAAGAAAUCAACCGAGAUUCCCUUAGUAGUGGCGAGCGAACGGGGACCAGCCCUUAAGUUGAUUUGAGAUUAGUGGAACGCUCUGGAAAGUGCGGCCAUAGUGGGUGAUAGCCCCGUACACGAAAAUCUCUUAUCAAUGAAAUCGAGUAGGACGGAGCACGAGAAACUUUGUCUGAAUAUGGGGGGACCAUCCUCCAAGGCUAAAUACUACUGACUGACCGAUAGUGAACCAGUACCGUGAGGGAAAGGCGAAAAGAACCCCGGAGAGGGGAGUGAAAUAGAACCUGAAACCGUAUGCGUACAAGCAGUGGGAGCCUACUUUGUUAGGUGACUGCGUACCUUUUGUAUAAUGGGUCAGCGACUUAUAUUCAGUGGCGAGCUUAACCGAAUAGGGGAGGCGUAGCGAAAGCGAGUCUUAAUAGGGCGCUUAGUCGCUGGGUAUAGACCCGAAACCGGGCGAUCUAUCCAUGGGCAGGUUGAAGGUUAGGUAACACUGACUGGAGGACCGAACCGACUACCGUUGAAAAGUUAGCGGAUGACCUGUGGAUCGGAGUGAAAGGCUAAUCAAGCUCGGAGAUAGCUGGUUCUCCUCGAAAGCUAUUUAGGUAGCGCCUCAUGUAUCACUGUAGGGGGUAGAGCACUGUUUCGGCUAGGGGGUCAUCCCGACUUACCAAACCGAUGCAAACUCCGAAUACCUACAAGUGCCGAGCAUGGGAGACACACGGCGGGUGCUAACGUCCGUCGUGAAAAGGGAAACAACCCAGGCCGUCAGCUAAGGCCCCAAAGUCAUGGUUAAGUGGGAAACGAUGUGGGAAGGCUUAGACAGCUAGGAGGUUGGCUUAGAAGCAGCCACCCUUUAAAGAAAG
rnacentral:rRNA from 1 species